rnacentral:lncRNA from 1 species
CUCUUUCUUGGUUUGAUCAGAGUUUUUUGAGGGUAGAUUGGGAAGCCGAGUGCUGAUGGCUGUAUCAAAGGAGUAGGCUUUGUAUCUCAAUCCACAAGAUCAGCCCAAUCACUGAACAACUAAAAAAAUCGGGAGUGACUGGUGUCACACUGAAAUCUGGGUCAUGGUAGGUUGUAGUGAAACAUCAGUGGGCUUUUACUGAACAUUAAAAAAAUUAAUGCCUGUGACUGGGAAUUGCAGUAAUAAAAAAUUGUUGGUAGUAGUCAUAUUGCAACAGGCCGUUUAAAAUGAUGCUAAUCCUGGGCUGGCUGUAUCACUUGAUUCUUUCUGUC